GUCUAAGCUGAUGGACAAUGGACCUGGCGCUGGCAUUUCUGGAGGCUUUGUGUAGAGUGACCCUGUUAACUGAUCUCUUGGGAAGCAGCUAGUACUUGUUGGUGGGUCGUUGGAGGCUGCAGGAGCAGAGGUCUUUGUGGGGAUAUCCCUCCAGCCCCAGGCUGUUGCGUAGGCCUGCAUCUCGGUGCCAUGAACUCUGCAGCUUCUGGAGCCUGAGUUUCCUCCCCGUAUGGGAGUAGUGGAGGGCCUGUUGGACUUUGGCUGCUUGUGGCAUUGGAGCCUCCGUGAGUGUGGGCGAUGCUUCCGGGUCUUCACCCUUUUGGCCUCCAGCCCGAGUAGGCUCCGUGAUUUGGGGAAGUGUGGGUCAUCCAAGGGUGCCUCGCUUACCUGCUGUCAGUGGGGUUCUCUGUGCUGCUCUCAAACCGUCUUAGUUUUGCCCAGAAGCGUCAAAAUAUUUAGUUCAGGCGCUGUAUGGUGUCUUGAUAGAUUGGUGCUUACGGGAGCAGAUUCAGCAUGAGCGGUGUGUUAUCAGCCGCUAUCUUAGGGGUGCCGCGUGGGCGAUAACACUGGCUUGUCAUCGUUCCAGAGAUCGGUGUGGGCUGACUGCUCCGGACACACCGUGCGGACCGGGAUAUCCACCGCCGGUCCGGGAAGGGUGAUGAGUAGUUUGGAGGUUCCCACUGCAAGGUCGCCCGUGAGGAGAGCGGUCACCUCUCCCCGGCAGGGUCUCGUGUAGGCCUUUUUGUGCAGGUGCUGGUUCCCGGUCAGUGUCAGGUUAGUGCUUGGUGUCUGGCUAUUCGCCGGGUGUCCCAGACUGGUCUGUCGCCCUCCAGGUGCAGUACGUGCUAGUUUGCUGGGGUUUUUGUCCCAAAUCGUGCCGAUUUAGUCAGGAGCUCAGUCUCAGCGUGUCCAUGCAGCCUGGAAGCCAGGCUCUGCCCCCAAAUUCCAGGGGGUUUUUUUUUGGUUUUUUUUUAAAGGUCAUAACUUGUACAAUUGCUUCCUUUAAGGGGUUAGAGAGAAUGCAUUAAAGAACAGUGAAACACAUAGCAAAGGAGCCAUAACUGGUAUCAGUCACAACCACACAUUUCCAUUAUGUCUUUUUAUUCAUGUUUAAAACUUUAGAUCUGCACGAUCUCUCUUAAGUAUUGUAGGGAUUUCCUCAUCCUUCCAACAUUUAACUGGAUGGAGUCCUCAUCACACCAGCAGCAGAAGCAGCACAUUAUCCAUCAAAAGCUUCUGCUUUCUUUUUCCUCAUCCUUGGCAGGUUUUUAAGCUCUCUAAGUGAUGAGAAGAACAUGACUUGCUGCUUACUCUAUCUUCCCAAAACCCACAUCUCCACAUUUGUAUGACUGCCUCUAUAUAUAGCACUUUAG